rnacentral:rRNA from 1 species
UACGUAGGGGGCAAGCGUUGUUCGGAAUUACUGGGCGUAAAGGGCUUGUAGGUGGCCACGCCAAGUCGGAUGUGAAAUCUCCCGGCUCAACUGGGAGGGGUCAUUCGAUACUGGCGGGCUCGAGGCCGGUAGGGGGAAGUGGAAUUCCCGGUGUAGUGGUGGAAUGCGUAGAUAUCGGGAGGAACACCAGUGGCGAAGGCGGCUUCCUGGACCGGUUCUGACACUGAGGAGCGAAAGCGUGGGGAGCGAUCCGG